AUGACAAAUAGAUAUAGGAAGAUGUGGUGUGAGUGCCAAUGAGACAACUCUCCAUACAAAUAACAAUUUAAAAAGUAAACCAUUAUAGGUUAAAGUACGGCCUUCAACACGGAGCCUUGGCUCACACCGAACAACAAGCUAUAAAGAGCCCCAAAAUUACUAGUGUAAAACCAUUCAAACGGGAAAACCAACGGUCUAAUCUAUAUAAACAAAACGAGAAACGAGAAACACGUAUAUAUUACAUAAACAAACGACAACUACUGUACAUCAGAUUCCUGACUUAGGACAGGUGCAAACAUU
rnacentral:lncRNA from 1 species